UACGAGGGGGGCGAGCGUUGUCCGGAAUUACUGGGCGUAAAGAGCUCGUAGGUGGUUUGUCGCGUUGUCCGUGAAAACUCACAACUCAAUUGUGGGCGUGCGGGCGAUACGGGCAGACUGGAGUACUGCAGGGGAGACUGGAAUUCCUGGUGUAGCGGUGGAAUGCGCAGAUAUCAGGAGGAACACCGGUGGCGAAGGCGGCAUCCUGGACCGAUACUGACGCUGAGGAGCGAAAGCCAGGGGAGCAAACGGG
rnacentral:rRNA from 1 species